rnacentral:rRNA from 1 species
AGUGAACGCUGGCGGUAGGCCUAACACAUGCAAGUCGAACGGCAGCACAUUAAGAGCUUGCUCUUACGGGUGGCGAGUGGCGGACGGGUGAGGAAUACAUCGGAAUCUACUUUUUCGUGGGGGAUAACGUAGGGAAACUUACGCUAAUACCGCAUACGACCUACGGGUGAAAGCAGGGGAUCUUCGGACCUUGCGCGUUUGAAUGAGCCGAUGUCGGAUUAGCUAGUUGGCGUGGUAAAGGCCCACCAAGGCGACGAUCCGUAGCUGGUCUGAGAGGAUGAUCAGCCACACUGGAAGUGAGACACGGUACAGACUCCUACGGGAGGCAGCAGUGGGGAAUAUUGGACAAGGGGCGCAAGCCUGAUCCAGCAAUACCGCGUGGGUGAAGAAGGCCUUAGGGUUGUAAAGCCCUUUUGUUGGGAAAGAAAAGCAGCAGGUUAAUACCCCGCUGUUCUGACGGUACCCAAAGAAUAAGCACCGGCUAACUACGUG